UCACAUGGAUGAGCAAAGAAAGUGGUUUCUUAAGAAGGAAUCUACUCCUGGUGAAGAUACUGUGAA
rnacentral:pre_miRNA from 2 species